CACCAUCACGGGCUGCAUUCUUCUGUUAGAAGAAAAAUAUGAGUCGGAUGAAACCCGAUCAAAAGUAGGAUAAGGCAUAACAAAGAUUUCUAAUCCAAGGUAUGCUAAACAUGAACGAAUUAACUGGUUAUAUCAUAUGAAAAGCAGAUCUAGCUGUUUCGUUAUGAAAGAAUAUUCCAAGGCACUUGUGGGAAGAACUAUACUAUACAAGAAUCGUAGAAGAAUUAUACGCAUUAGGUCUACAUUGAUGAUAAACUUUGAACCAAUAAUAAUGAAAAUUUAUGCAGGUAAAUAAAUAGUCUUAAUGUGGAAUUUUACAGAAAUGUCCACUGCACAACUUCUGCUUAAGAACAUAAACAGCUUCAAUAUCAGUCCAGAUUGUCAGCCUAAAGAGUCCAAUUCAAGCACAAAAAGGGGUUUCAAUCCAUCUUCUAAAAUGGGAAAUCCACAGCUAUGAUUGAAUUAUGAAAUACGAAAUGCGAAGUUGUAAGGGAUUGAAUUAUUAUACUAUAAAAUACAUAAAAGGUCAGAUUUUAUUACUUAUGUUUAUCAAAUCAAGCAAAACAAAAUCAUAAUGGCCAAUCUAAAAUCAGGCAUUAAAAAAAUAAUUACUGUAAUCUACAUCACAAGACAUAGCAACAUUAUCUCCAAUACCAAUAAUCAAUAACAAUUGACUCAGAAAAAAUCAAUAACAAAAUUUGCUGAAAAUUAACUUCAGAAUUAUCUUUUAAGAAAGACUUCACACUUAAAAACGGCAUGCAGAAACAUAUAAUCAAAUAUCCAAAUUCCAAAGCAGCCUUCACUACAACGCAAUUCCUAUCAAAAUCCAGAAAAUAAAACAACACCGUCAAAACAAUGUAGUUCCAGCUGAUUACGAGCAAAAAAAAAAACUUCAAAAUGAAGUGCAUGCAGGAAAAAUCGCACCAACAGCCACCAAAUCGGAGUCAAAACUUCAUAAAACCACAUAUCAACAGGGAAAUUUGAUAUAAAAACGUAACUGCAUCCAUUUCAUUUUUUUUUUUUUCAGAAGAAUCGUAGAUCUACCAAAAUCGAAUUAGAAUUCAAAAGAGGAAAGGACAAUACCACGCGAUCAAAUGACGGAGGAACAUCGAAAUCACCAUCUGCUUCCAUCGCCUUUAUUUAUUUUUAAUUUUUUUAGAGAGAAAAUUGGAAUUAUUGGAAGGUGGGUGAAGCCAGAGUCUUAAAUUUGAUUGACGAGUGUGCGUUGGUG
rnacentral:lncRNA from 1 species